CCUACGGGCGGCUGCAGUGGGGAAUAUUGGACAAUGGGCGAAAGCCUGAUCCAGCCAUGCCGCGUGUGUGAAGAAGGCCUUCGGGUUGUAAAGCACUUUCAGUGGGGAAGAAAGCCUUGGGGCUAAUACCCUCGAGGAAGGACAUCACCCACAGAAGAAGCACUGGCUAACUCCGUGCCAGCAGCCGCGGUAAUACGGAGGGUGCGAGCGUUAAUCGGAAUUACUGGGCGUAAAGCGCGCGUAGGCGGUCUGAUAAGCCGGUUGUGAAAGCCCCGGGCUCAACCUGGGAACGGCAUCCGGAACUGUCAGGCUAGAGUGCAGGAGAGGAAGGUAGAAUUCCCGGUGUAGCGGUGAAAUGCGUAGAGAUCGGGAGGAAUACCAGUGGCGAAGGCGGCCUUCUGGACUGACACUGACGCUGAGGUGCGAAAGCGUGGGUAGCAAACAGGAUUAGAUACCCCUGUAGUC
rnacentral:rRNA from 1 species